rnacentral:rRNA from 1 species
UACGUAGGUGGCAAGCGUUGUCCGGAUUUACUGGGCGUAAAGAGCGCGCAGGCGGUCGUUCAAGUCGCGUGUGAAAGCCCCCGGCUCAACUGGGGAGGGUCACGCGAUACUGAUCGACUCGAAGGCAGGAGAGGGAAGUGGAAUUCCCGGUGUAGUGGUGAAAUGCGUAGAUAUCGGGAGGAACACCAACAGCGAAGGCAGCACUCUGGGCCGGUACUGACGCUGAGGAGCGAAAGCAUGGGGAGCGAACAGG